rnacentral:rRNA from 1 species
AGAGUUUGAUCCUGGCUCAGAUUGAACGCUGGCGGUAUGCUUAACACAUGCAAGUCGAACGGAAACGAUACUAGCUUGCUAGUAGGCGUCGAGUGGCGGACGGGUGAGUAACGCGUAGGAAUCUGCCUGAUAGUGGGGGAUAGCCCGAAGAAAUUCGGAUUAAUACCGCAUAAUCUAUUCGUAGUAAAGUGGGGGACUUUUAAGCCUCACGCUAUCAGAUGAGCCUGCGUAAGAUUAGCUAGUUGGUAGGGUAAAAGCCUACCAAGGCAACGAUCUUUAGCUGGUCUGAGAGGAUGAUCAGCCACAUCGGGACUGAGACACGGCCCGAACUCCUACGGGAGGCAGCAGUGGGGAAUAUUGGACAAUGGGGGCAACCCUGAUCCAGCAAUACCGCGUGUGUGAAGAAGGCCUGAGGGUUGUAAAGCACUUUCAAUUGUGAAGAAAAGUUAACGGUUAAUAACCGUUAGCCUUGACGUUAACUUUAGAAGAAGCACCGGCUAACUCCGUGCCAGCAGCCGCGGUAAUACGGAGGGUGCAAGCGUUAAUCGGAAUUACUGGGCGUAAAGCGUGCGUAGGCGGUUUAUUAAGUCAGAUGUGAAAGCCCCGGGCUUAACCUGGGAACUGCAUUUGAAACUGGUCAACUAGAGUAUGGUAGAGGAAAGUGGAAUUUCUGGUGUAGCGGUGAAAUGCGUAGAUAUCAGAAGGAACAUCAAUGGCGAAGGCAGCUUUCUGGACCAAUACUGACGCUGAGGUACGAAAGCGUGGGUAGCAAACAGGAUUAGAUACCCUGGUAGUCCACGCCGUAAACGAUGAUAACUAGCCGUUGGGGGGAUUUACCCUUUAGUGGCGAAGCUAACGCGUUAAGUUAUCCGCCUGGGGAGUACGGCCGCAAGGCUAAAACUCAAAGGAAUUGACGGGGACCCGCACAAGCGGUGGAGCAUGUGGUUUAAUUCGAUGCAACGCGAAGAACCUUACCUGGUCUUGACAUCCUGCGAACUUUCUAGAAAUAGAUUGGUGCCUUCGGGAACGCAGUGACAGGUGCUGCAUGGCUGUCGUCAGCUCGUGUCGUGAGAUGUUGGGUUAAGUCCCGUAACGAGCGCAACCCCUAUCCUUAUUUGCCAGCACGUCAUGGUGGGAACUAUAAGGAGACUGCCGGUGAUAAACCGGAGGAAGGCGGGGACGACGUCAAGUCAUCAUGGCCCUUACGACCAGGGCUACACACGUGCUACAAUGGGAAGGACAAAGAGCCGCGAAGCCGCGAGGUGUAGCUAAUCUCAGAAACCUUUUCGUAGUCCGGAUUGGAGUCUGCAACUCGACUCCAUGAAGUCGGAAUCGCUAGUAAUCGUAGAUCAGAAUGCUACGGUGAAUACGUUCCCGGGUCUUGUACACACCGCCCGUCAUACCAUGGGAGUGGGUUGCACCAGAAGUGGCUAGUCUAACUUAGUGAGGACGGUCACCACGGUGUGAUUCAUGACUGGGGUAAAGUCGUAACAAGGUAACC